rnacentral:rRNA from 1 species
AUUGAACGCUGGCGGCAGGCCUAACACAUGCAAGUCGAGCGGAGCGGCGGACGGGUGAGUAAGGCCUAGGAAUCUGCCUGGUGGUGGGGGAUAACGUCCGGAAACGGGCGCUAAUACCGCAUACUAGCAGAUGAGCCUAGGUCUGAAUAGCUAGUUGGUGGGGUAAAGGCCUACAAAGGCGAAGAUCCGUACCUGGUCGGAGAGGAUGAUCAGUCAAACUGGAAUUGAGAAACGGUCCAGACUCCUACGGGAGGCAGCAUUGGGGAAUAUUGGACAAUGGGCGAAAGCCGGAUCCAGCAAUGCCGCGUGUGUGAAGAAGGUCUUCGGAUUGUAAAGUCCUUUAAGUGGGGAGGCGGUACCAACAGAAUAAGCACCGGCUAACUUCGUGCCAGCAGCCGCGGUAAUUC